AGCAGUUCCUCCCUUCCAAGCAGACAGUUGUUUGCAUAAAGCUUCGCUUCCUGCUUGUCAAUUUACGUGAUUUGGUAUUUAUGCCCUUGAUGCGGGAAGUGAUGGACCGCUGGCUGCAGGCUCAGCGCUGGAUCUUGCAGAAUCCCAAGCUGGUAAAGAAAGCAGAAGUGACCAAUACGUGUAUACUACAAAGUCAGUGAUGCUGAUUACUAUUCCUCAGAUGCCCCUCUUUCUCAUUUGGUGUGUAAAAACAGAGCUUUAAAGCUCUAACACUUCAUUUGUAAAUUAUAUUACAAGAAUAAUAAAUCACAAGAAUAGUUAAACUGGCA
rnacentral:lncRNA from 1 species